rnacentral:rRNA from 1 species
UAGGGAAUCUUCCGCAAUGGACGAAAGUCUGACGGAGCAACGCCGCGUGAGUGAGGAAGGUCUUCGGAUCGUAAAACUCUGUUGUCAGGGAAGAACCGCCGGGAUGCCCGGUCUGACGGUACCUGACGAGAAAGCCCCGGCUAACUACGUGCCAGCAGCCGCGGUAAUACGUAGGGGGCAAGCGUUGUCCGGAAUUAUUGGGCGUAAAGCGCGCGCAGGCGGCUUCUUAAGUCAGGUGUGAAAGCCCACGGCUCAACCGUGGAGGGCCAUCUGAAACUGGGGAGCUUUAGUGCAGGAGAGGAGAGCGGAAUUCCACGUGUAGCGGUGAAAUGCGUAGAGAUGUGGAGGAACACCAGUGGCGAAGGCGGCUCUCUGGCCUGUAACUGACGCUGAGGCGCGAAAGCGUGGGGAGCAAACAG